CAGGAAAAACCUAAAGCCCCUCUAUCGUCCUUAUCUCAUAUUUUGCAAUAGUAAUAGAGAAGCUGUAAAAAAUGUUUUAAUGAAAAACUGUGACAAUCAAACAAGUAUUAAAAUAGCUGAUAUUCAAAAAGAAUUGAGUAACAAAUGGAGGAACUUAUCUGAAGAAGAAAGAAAGAAAUAUGAGGACGAGGCUCUUCUUUUAAAAAUGAAGUAUAAUGAGGAGCUAUUAGAAUGGGUAAAA